AUACGUAGGGUGCAAGCGUUAAUCGGAAUUACUGGGCGUAAAGCGUGCGCAGGCGGUUCGGCAAGAAGGAUGUGAAAUCCCAGGGCUUAACCUUGGAACUGCAUUCUUAACUGCCGGGCUAGAGUAUGUCAGAGGGGGGUAGAAUUCCGCGUGUAGCAGUGAAAUGCGUAGAGAUGCGGAGGAAUACCGAUGGCGAAGGCAGCCCCCUGGGAUAAUACUGACGCUCAUGCACGAAAGCGUGGGGAGCAUACAGGAUUAGAUCCCCCGGUAGUGGACUGACUAAUCGAUGUCAACUAGGGGUUGGGGACUUCGGGACUUAGUAGCGCAGCUAACGCGUGAAGUUGACCGCCUGGGGAGUACGGUCGCAAGAUUAAAACUCAAAUGAAUUGACGGGG
rnacentral:rRNA from 1 species